GAGAGGAAGAAGCAAUGGAGAACCAACAAUCACUACCGCCACUGCUGCAGAGCCAAUCACAAGCGAAGAAUGAGGAUGCCUCCGGGAAGAAGAAGAACAGGAGAAAACUACCAGCCCCAAGUGAGCUUGUGGCGCAUUACGAGAAGCAGGGCAUGGACACUCAAGAAGCCUCUUUCAA